GAGAGUGAGCGAAUCCCAAAAAGUGCGUCGUAGUCCGGAUCGGAGUCUGCAACUCGACUCCGUGAAGUCGGAAUCGCUAGUAAUCGUGGAUCAGAAUGCCACGGUGAAUACGUUCCCGGGCCUUGUACACACCGCCCGUCACACCAUGGGAGUGGGCUGCAAAAGAAGUAGGUAGUUUAACCUUCGGGAGGACGCUUACCACUUUGUGGUUCAUGACUGGGGUGAAGUCGUAACAAGGUAGCGCUAGGGGAACCUGGCGCUGGAUCACCUCCUUA
rnacentral:rRNA from 1 species